GGCCAGGUAGCUCAGUCGGUAGAGCAGUGGACUGAAAAUCCUCGUGUCGGCAGUUCGAUUCUGUCCCUGGCCAC
rnacentral:tRNA from 1 species